CCUUGCCUUUAGUUGCCAGCAUUAAGUUGGGCACUCUAGAGGGACUGCCAGGGAUAACCUGGAGGAAGGUGGGGAUGACGUCAAAUCAUCAUGCCCCUUAUGCUUAGGGCUACACACGUGCUACAAUGGGUGGUACAGAGGGCAGCCAAGUCGUGAGGCCGAGCUAAUCCCUUAAAGCCAUUCUCAGUUCGGAUUGUAGGCUGAAACUCGCCUACAUGAAGCUGGAGUUACUAGUAAUCGCAGAUCAGAAUGCUGCGGUGAAUGCGUUCCCGGGUCUUGUACACACCGCCCGUCACACCAUGGGAGUUGGGGGCGCCCGAAGCCGGUUAGCUAACCUUUUGGAAGCGGCCGUCGAAGGUGAAACCAAUAACU
rnacentral:rRNA from 1 species